GUACGCUAUUCAGAGUUUGAUCCUGGCUCAGGAUGAACGCUGGCGGCGUGCCUAACACAUGCAAGUCGAACGAAGCGUCCCGCCCGAAGAGAAGGAGUGCUUGCACAAAUUUAAUUCAAUUGGGGCGACUUAGUGGCGGACGGGUGAGUAACGCGUGGGUAACCUGCCUUAUACAGGGGGAUAACAGUUAGAAAUGACUGCUAAUACCGCAUAAGCACACAGAAUCGCAUGAUACAGUGUGAAAAGCCGAGACGGUAUAAGAUGGACCCGCGUCUGAUUAGCCAGUUGGCAGGGUAACGGCCUACCAAAGCGACGAUCAGUAGCCGGCCUGAGAGGGUGAACGGCCACAUUGGGACUGAGACACGGCCCAA
rnacentral:rRNA from 1 species